AUGCGAGGCCAAGUGAGGCUGGUGCAAGGAGGAGGUGCAGCAAAUUUACAGCUCAUCCAGGCCCUCUCGGACUCAGAGGAGGAGCAUGACAAUGCCUGGGAUGGUCGUCUCGGAGAUCGAUACAACCCACCUGUGGAUGCAACGCCUGGGAGCUGGAAUACAAUGAGAUCAAGACACAGGUGGAAUUGGCCACAGGGUGGCUGGGACUUAGGAGGACUGCCCAGGAGCAUAGCUUCCCUCGAUUGUUACACCAGAGAGAACGGGGACUCUGCCACCGGGGAAGCUUCUCCCUUGGAGAACAGUCUCGAGUGAUGUCUCUCACUUCUUGCCCAAUGAUCUAAGCUUCACUGAUACCUACUCUCAGAAGGCUUUCUGCGGCAUCUACAGCAAAGAUGGUCAGAUCUUCAUGUCUGCUUGCCAAGAUCAGACAAUCCGACUGUAUGACUGUCGGUAUGGCGGCUUCUACAAGUUCAAAAGCAUUAAGGCUCAGGAUGUAGGCUGGAGUGUCCUGGACGUGGCCUUCACUCCUGAUGGAAACCACUUCCUGUACUCCAGCAGGUCUGAUUACAUUCAUAUCUGCAACAUCUAUGGGGAAGGAGACACAUACUGCCCUGGAUUUAAGGCCAGAUGAACGUCGCUUUGCUGUCUUCUCCAUCGCUGUCUCCUCAGAUGGACGAGAAGUUCUAGGAGGAGCCAAUGAUGGCUGCCUGUAUGUCUUUGACCGAGAACAAAACCGGCAUACUCUUCAGAUUGAGUCUCAUGAGGAUGAUGUGAAUGCAGUGGCCUUUGCUGACAUAAGCUCCCAAAUCCUGUUCUCUGGGGGAGAUGAUGCCAUCUGCAAAGUGUGGGAUCGACGAACCAUGAGGGAGGAUGAUCCCAAGCCUGUAGGAGCACUGGCUGGACACCAAGAUGGCAUCACCUUUAUUGACAGCAAGGGUGAUGCCCAGUAUCUCAUCUCCAACUUCAAAGAUCAGACCAUUAAGCUUUGGGAUAUCAGAUGCUUUUCCAGCAGAGAAGGCAUGGAAGCGUCACGACUGGCUGCCACGCAGCAAAACUGGGACUAUCACUGGCAGCAGGUGCCCAAGAAAGCCUGGAAGAAGUUGAAGCUCCCAGGUAACAGCUCCUUGAUGACCUACAGAGACCAUGGAGUGCUUCACAAUCUGAUCCGAUGCUGAUUCUCCCCAGCCCACAGCACCGGCCAGCAGUUCAUCUACAGUGGCUAUUCUACUGGCAAAGUGGUUGUGUACGACCUCUUAAGCGGCCACAUUGUGAAGAAGCUGACCAAUCACAAGGCCUGUGUGCGCGAUGUCAGCUGGCAUCCCUUUGAAGAAAAGAUUAUUGUCAGCAAUUCGUGAGAUGGGAACCUACGUCUGUUGCAAUACCGCGAAGCCAAGUACUUCCAGGAUGACAUGCCAGAGUCUGAUAUGAACAGAGUCUGUUCCAGUGGCCCUACUCCGGUGCCCUGCCCAUCUGUGGCCUUUUCCUCACCUCAGUAGAUCUGACCUCCAGUUCUUUAUAGGGUGAAUUCUCAGCAUAUUCUCUGCCUCCUCCUCCCUUCCCCCAUCUGGGGAGUAUGUGGAGGAACUGCUGACACUGG